AUGCUUGGAUUGGAUAUUUGUGCUGACAGAUGCUUGGAUUGGAUACUCUCGAGAAGAUUGUUCAAGAUGCUGCUUAUCCUUACUGUAACUUGCUUUAUUUCAUAUACUACUCUAAUUCUGUUAUUUCUUAUAGUAAUUUUAAUUUCAUGUGUUUAUGGCUUAUCAUUAGAGGCCCUAUUUAGUCACGGUUCAAAUUUUAGAACCUGUGCGGUGGCCUGA